rnacentral:rRNA from 1 species
UACGGAGGAUGCAAGCGUUAUCCGGAAUGAUUGGGCGUAAAGCGUCCGCAGGUGGCUAUGUAAGUCUGCUGUUAAAGAGUGAGGCUCAACCUCAUAAGAGCAGUGGAAACUACAUGGCUAGAGUGCGUUCGGGGCAGAGGGAAUUCCUGGUGUAGCGGUGAAAUGCGUAGAGAUCAAGAAGAACACCGGUGGCGAAAGCGCUCUGCUAGGCCGCAACUGACACUGAGGGACGAAAGCUAGGGGAGCGAAUGGG